AUGAGGAGAAUAUGUCUGAGAGGUGUAUCUACGAUGUUCUUGAGGUAUAAGUUGUAUGUUGUUUUUAUUAUUGUUUGUGUAUUUCAAUUUUGGAUUGUAUUUAUGUUGUUUUAUGAUGCAAAAAUUGAGUUUGUUGGGUAUAUGCAACCACACAAAUUCAAAUCAGUUGGAAAUUCGACAAAAUGUAGUUGAGAAAGUUACAGGUGGUACAAGCGCGACACAUAGUUUUUCUGCCAACCAGAGCAGUGUCGAACCCUCACCACCAAAUCAAAAUAGUCUUCAGAGACUAGAGAUGAUGAUUGAGAGUAUUAAUGAAGAUCCAAUCUUCGGUAUUCCAUUAAGACAUGAUCCAAAGCAGUUAUUCAUAUUUUUAAAGCUCUCUAUACAUGAAUUUUUGGAGGGGAAUGAGUGGCUAGACAAUUUCGUAUUACAAUUGUGGUGCUCACGCAUUUAUGAGUUAUGUGCUAAAAGGAAGCUUUUAAAGAAGUAUUGUAUCUUGGAUGCUGCGAAGAUUGUUCUUACUCGUGAUUCGCUAGGACACGAAAUAAAAAACUACUUACAAGACAAGUUGAUGGAGAAAGGGAACACCAAAGAUUAUUAUUUGGCCCCAUUUUAUCGCGAGCGACAUUGACAACUACUAGUCAUAGGUCCGAAGAAAUAUACUAUAGUUAUGUUAUGCUCGCUGCAUUAUGGAUUGCCCGAUGUUGUGAUUAAUGCUUUGAAUGAGGUUUCCCACUUACCAUGUCCUUAGUGGGUGGCGACUCGUUUAAACAUGAAUUUUAAAGCAGGUUGCUACAGUGUAGAGCGUUGGAAGAAUUUAAUGCACGCAAAAACAAUCUUAUUGGUCAAAAGUCACGCUAUGUUAAACCAAAAGUAAGUAUAUUACUUGUGGUUUUUGACAUUAUAUUAUUGCGUGUAUUAGUGAGUCAUAAAUAAAUCAAAAUUAUUUGUAAUGGCAAAAACAACCGGACAACUAUUCUUGUGGAUACUAUGCUAUGAGAUAUAUGCUUCAUAUUCUCUCCGGAUGCAUUACAAACGGAUGGAUGAAGAAUAAGGAGCUUAGCAGCCAAACACCAUACUUGAAAGAACAAAUUGAUGACAUUCGAUCACAUUGGGUCGAUUUAAUCUUAUCUUGUCAUGAAUCUCUACGACAACAAUAGUUUUUCUUGGUUCCUGUAAUCUGAAUUUGUAUAUGAACAGAGAUUUUUCCAU